UAGCAUGUGGCAGUGGAGCACAGUGGUC
rnacentral:piRNA from 1 species